UUUCCGGGCUUAGGGUUUGGUGGGGUGUCGGGGGCGGCAGAGCAUACGGACGAUGGGGGUAAGCGGCGGAGAAGGUGCCGGGAGGGAGAACAUAUAGGUGAGGGGAUGGGCACCCGGUAUAGCAUGCCGUACGGCAAGCGGUGUAGAGAGAGAUGGGUAGCAGAAGGGGUAGGGCGGGAAGAGAUCGGCGCGGGUUGGAGAAAGGGGAGAGCGACACAUACGCCAUUUAGAACUCCCAAUUCAUGUCUUUUUACUGAUUAGGGUUAAUUUCAUAUAUGUCCAUACAAACAUAGUGAAUAGCAAAUAUAUACCUACAAAUUAAGUUUAACUUUCAUAUGUUUUUCUUGCAAAAGUCAUGUUAUUUUUAAAUAUGUCUCUGCCGUUAGAAUCCGUUAGAAAAAUUUAGUUAACCACAAGUUAAAUACUUAAACUUAGUUCUCGACAUUUUUGUUAUCUUAUAUUAUAUUAUUUGUCAUGGCAAAAUUGAAAAUAUAAAUAGUUUUCUAAUGAUUCUCUAACGGUAACAAACUAGAGAGACAUAUUUGAAAAUAUUAAAACUUUUGCAGGGACAAUAUAUGAAAGUUGAAUUUUGUAUAAAUGUAUUUAUCAUUCACUAUAUUUGUAGGGAUCUGUAUGAAAUUAAUCCAAUAAAUUAUGUAUACCUUGGUUUAUUAUAUUUUUUUUGUUUAUU
rnacentral:lncRNA from 1 species